rnacentral:rRNA from 1 species
CCUUUGUACACACCGCCCGUCGCUACUACCGAUUGAAUGGCUCCGUGAGGCCUUCGGACUGGCCCCGGGGGGUUGGCAACGACCCUUCGGAGCCGGAAAGUUGGUCAAACGCGGUCAUUUAGAGG